rnacentral:misc_RNA from 1 species
GAUGAAGAACGUAGCGAACGUGCGAAACGUAAUGUGAAUUGCAGAAUUCAGUGAAUCAUCGAAUCUUUGAACGCAUCUUGCGCUCCUUGGUAUUCCGAGGAGCAUGCCUGUUUGAGUGUCGUGAAUACUCUCAACUUCAACCCUUUUUUUCGGAAAGGGAGGAAGGUUGGACUUGGGUGUUUGUUGAAGUGCGAGCUUCGACUCAUCCUAAAUGCAUUAGCGAUCUGCCUCGAUCACACACAAUGUGAUAAUUAAAACUAAAGCAUUGUUUAAUGAUCAAGUCGAGACUGCUUCUAACUGUCGCAAGACAAUAACGUGCAUACAUUUGUGCAUGUCAUUUGACCUCAAAUCAGGUAGGACUACCCGCUGAACUUAAGCAUAUCAAUAAGCGGAGGA